AGACAAUGAUGUGUUGAGGACUUCUGUUGAAAUGUAUAGCCUAUGAUGGAUAACCUAUCUUCAUUCGAUGCAAUUAGAUGUUUAUGCUUACCUGCAAAAAAAAGGAAUUAAAAAACAAAAAAAGAAGUGGAACAUUCUGGGAUCUUUUCAUACCAAUGGCAGUCAUUACUGUUCAAUCACUUAUUAAUAAGUGGGAAUUCAUGGAUCUCUUGAUACCAAGACAAGGUCAGAUAGACCAAAAAAGAUUUCAGCAACAGCUGCCAGAAGAAUUGUUCAGGAUACAAAGAAAAACCCACAGGUAACCUCAGGAGAAAUACAGGAUGCUAUAUUUGGAGAGGGGUCAAUAAGGCUUAUAGUGAAAAGAAUACCAUCCCCAGUGUGAAUCAUGGUGGUGGGUCACUGAUGUUUUGGGGGGAUGUGAGCUCUAAAGGCACGGGGUAUAUUGUGAAAAUUGAUGGCAGGAUGAAUACAGCAUGUUAUGAGAAAAUACUGUCAGACUCUGGGACUUUCCAGCAUGACAAUGAUUUUAAGCACAAGGCCAAGUGGAUCCUCCUGUGGUUACAGCAGAAAAAGGUGAAGGUUCUGGAGUGGCCAUCACAGUCUCCUGCCUUAAUAUCAUUAGGCCACUCUGGGGAGAUCUCAAAUAUGCAGUUCAUACAAGACGUCCAAAGACUUUGCAUAACCUGGAGGCAUUUUGCCAAGAUGAAUGGGCAGCUAUACCACCUGCGAGAAUUAGGGGCCUCAAUGACAAUUAUUACAAAAGACUGCACGCUGUCAUUGAUGCUAAAGUGGGCAAUACACUAUUAAGAACUAAGGGUAUGCAGACUUUUGAAAAGGGGUCAUUUAAUUUGUUUUCUUUGUUGCCAUGUUUUGUUUUAUGAUUGUGCCAUUCUGUUAUAACCUACAGUUGAAUAUGAA